rnacentral:rRNA from 1 species
UACGUAGGGUCCGAGCGUUGUCCGGAGUUACUGGGCGUAAAGGGCGCGCAGGCGGCGGUGUUGGCCCGGCGUGAAAGCCCCCGGCUCAACCGGGGAGGGACGUCGGGGACCGCGCCGCUUGAGGGCGGUAGGGGCUGGUGGAAUGCCUGGUGUAGUGGUGAAAUGCGUAGAGAUCAGGCGGAACACCUGUGGCGAAGGCGGCCAGCUGGGCCGUCCCUGACGCUGAGGCGCGAAGGCGUGGGGAGCGAACGGG